rnacentral:rRNA from 1 species
UUUUAAAAGUUGCUUAGAAUUAAUGUGAAUAAAUAAUAAUAAAAAAAAUAAUUAAGAUAGAAACUAGUAAUGUUUAAUAAAUGUUUUGUUUGGCUAUAGGUAAAAAGUACUGUAAAGGAAAUCUAGAAUAAAUAAAUAUUUAUAGUAAUUUUAAAUAACUGUACCUUGUGUAUUAUGGAAAAUUCAAAUCACUUAAAAAUUUUAAAAAUCUCGAAGUAAAUAAUAGUUAACUUAAUAAGAAAGUUUAUGUUGCAAAAUAAAAUUUUAAUAUAAAGUUAAAGGUGAAAUAUUCAACGAGUUUUAUUGUAUCUGGUUUCUUAAGAAAUAAAUGUAAUUUAUAAUUUAAACUUUUAAGGUUUAAAAUUUAGGAGUAGGAGGGUUAAGCUUCUUGUUCGAAAAAGUUGUUAUAAUAGUUCUGUAAAUUUAAAAAAAUUAUCUAAGCUUAAGAGUAGCUAUGAUAAUAAAGUGUUUAAAAUAAGUUAAGUAAUUAAGUCAACGAGCUUUAAGUAGUAUUAAGAUAUUUAAAUGAAUAAGAGAAAAAAAGUAAUUAUGAUUUUAUAAGUAGAAAGUAAUAUUGUAAUAUAAUAUAAUAAAAUAAAAAUUGUAUUAUAAGUUAUUAUAAUUAUAAUUAAAGGAACUCGGCAAAUAUAAUUUCUUGCCUGUUUAUCAAAAACAUGUCUAUUAUGGAGUUAUUUAUAGUCUGGCCUGCUCCCUGACUAUAAGUUAAAGAGCCGCGGUAAUUUGACCGUGCAAAGGUAGCAUAAUCAUUAGUUUCUUAAUUGGAAACUUGUAUGAAAGGUCUGACAAAGAAAAAGCUGUCUUUAUUAUAAAAGUUGAAUUUAACUUUUAAGUGAAAAGGCUUAAAUGAUUUAGAGGGACGAUAAGACCCUAUAAAGCUUUAUAUAAGAAUAAUCAGAAUUGAAUUUACAAUAAAAAUUUAAAUUAAUUAUUAUAUUUUAUUGGGGUGAUAUUAAUAAAAAUAAUAUUAACUGUUAAAAUAAAAUACGUGAAUAAAAGAGUUAAAUUGUUAAUGAUCCUUAUUUAAAGAUUAAAAGAUUAAGUUACUUUAGGGAUAACAGCGUAAUUUUUCUUGAGAGUUCAUAUCGAAAGAAAAGAUUUUGACCUCGAUGUUGAAUUAAAAUAUCUGUGUAAAGCAGCCAUUACAUAAGAAGGUCUGUUCGACCUUUAAAUUUUUACAUGAUUUGAGUUCAGACCGGCGUGAGCCAGGUCGGUUUCUAUCUUCUAAAUAUAAAUAAACCAUUUUAGUACGAAAGGAUUUAAUGGUUUUAAAAGUUAAAGU